rnacentral:misc_RNA from 1 species
CAGGCUCCAACUUUCUACUGCGUUCAUUCAAUGCAACUGUGGAUCAAAUAUACAUUAUAAAAAUUUAUUCAAAGGGACAAAUAAUUUUUGGGGAAAGAAAUACAGCAGAAUUUAAAUUGAAUAAAAAAAUAAAAGAAAUAUAAUUGGAGGGAGAAAAUAGCAAAAAAUUAGCAUAUUCAGCUGCUCAACCAACGCAUUUAACACCAGCUUCUCAACUUUCUGUUUUUAAUUGUUUCUCAUAUAUUCAAUAAUCAGAAUAUUAGUUCCCUCACUUCCACCACCAUUGCAUGACAACAAUCCCUGUUUCCCAACAAUAGAAAAUGAAG